GUGCCACUGCCUGGUGCUUUGAGGGGCCUGCUGUGUUUUGGAAUGUAAUGUCUCGGGCCAAGAAUCCUUCACCAACAACAGCUGCAUGACAUAUGACGUACGCAUGUUGAGAAAGAAAAAUAAACGUUAGUAUGAUGACAUGAGAUGCACGUAAAAUCGUUUAAUGAGACAAAAAAAAAAUGCAUGUGAACAAAGAGACAAAUUUAAUUAAUUAGUGAAUUGACAGUGUGAUUAAACGAUUGAAUUGAAGGAAAGAGACAUGGGAAGCUUCAAGGAAGCAUCAGUGGCUAGACAGUGGCAUCUAAAAGGGUUACGUAAAAAAGUAUCAAAAGUCAGAAUCAAACUAUACAUGUUCCAAAAUAAUAAGUGUGUCUAUAGACUAUAUAUGAUGAAUAAAGCAAUCUAUGCUCAGCUGUAAACCACACUCUUCAGUCUUUACUCAUCAUCAACUUGUCCACACGGGGGAAAAGCAAACCUGUGGUCAGUUGAAAUUUAUAUACACAUGCAUAUAUAAAUUAUAGCAGACACUGGUAUUAAUAAAGUGCUUUCUGGGUCACCAAUUAUUCAUUUUCUAAAAGGACAGACUGCAGAAAAUUCAAAAAGAUUGGCAUUUCGGAUGUGCUAGUUUUUCAUUUCAUUCCAAAAUUCAAAUAAUUGAGACUUUGUCCAGAUGGCAAGACCUUAUGUCACCCAUGUGCUAGCUUCAAAAAUAAAUAAAUGAUGGGACAAAGAAUCAGCCAUUCUUUGCUGAUUCAUCGCCUCUGAUUUGUGUGUGGACAAAGAGACCCAGAUUUGAUGAGUAUAAUCUGGGACCAACAACGGUAUGACAAACAAGUUAAUGGACAAAUGUCACCACAGUUUUAAAACUAGAAGACUUUUGUUCCAAGGGGCAAUUGAUUUAGUAUAGAGCUGAAAUAUAUCAAGGUUAAAAAAAAAAAGAAAUUAAUCUUUGAAAACUUGAGCAUAGAAGGUCUAGAACGCAAACUUCAAACAUCCAUUUGGUCCGGUUUACACUUCCUACCUAGCUGUACUAUGCUUGAUCUUUUAUGAAAUAUGAAGGAAAAAAAAAAUUCCUCAUGCCGUCGAUGUUUACCUAAAAUUUACAUACAUACAUACAUACAUACAUAUAUAUACAUACAUACAUAUAUAUAUAUAUAUAGUGCGGAAAAGUUUUAAAAUCAGAUAAGUUUUAAAAACCUUCAGUUUUAAAUUUUUAAAAUUAUGCAAUUUUAAAGAUUUUUUGUAUUUUUCUGCACUUUCAAAUUUUUGACCGGAACAUUUCUAUAUAUAUAUAAGUUCAGUGAAUAUUGACGCAGCACCAACUUCAUCAAUGGAGUAAUUAAUAUGGUUGUUUUCUCAACUAAUUCAUCGUGACUACAGAAGAAAAUGUAGACGUGUUGAUACUAACGUAAUAUCAGUUACAAUCUUAUAUCAUCAGGAUUCCGGGCCAGUUUGUAACCGUUGUUUUUCAGAUUAAUUUUCUCAUAAAAAAAUAGUAAUGCAAUUAAUACAGUUAAUGAAAAGUAGACUUACCAACUGUAGCAGACUUGAAAGUUGUGCUUCCAUCAACCACAUUUCUACUUCCUGUGAUGAUAGUUCUAGUCCUUCCGUCACCGAUGAACAUUAUAUUUUUAUGCUUCUUUGUCACCUCAACAUUUUCC
rnacentral:lncRNA from 1 species